rnacentral:rRNA from 1 species
GGUAACGGCCUACCAAGGCAAUGAUGUUUAGGGGUCCUGAGAGGGUGAUCCCCCACACUGGUACUGAGACACGGACCAGACUCCUACGGGAGGCAGCAGUGAGGAAUAUUGGUCAAUGGGCGAAAGCCUGAACCAGCCAUCCCGCGUGCAGGAAGACGGCCCUAUGGGUUGUAAACUGCUUUUCCAGGAGGAGAAACUCUCGUACGUGAUACGGGAUUGACGGUACCCUGGGAAUAAGCAUCGGCUAACUCCGUGCCAGCAGCCGCGGUAAUACGGAGGAUGCAAGCGUUAUCCGGAUUCAUUGGGUUUAAAGGGUGCGUAGGCGGACUAUUAAGUCAGUGGUGAAAUCCUGCAGCUUAACUGCAGAACUGCCGUUGAUACUGAUAGUCUUGAGUUUGGUUAAGGUAGGCGGAAUGUGUAAUGUAGCGGUGAAAUGCUUAGAUAUUACACAGAACACCGAUUGCGUAGGCAGCUUACUGAGCCGACACUGACGCUGAGGCACGAAAGCGUGGGGAUCGAACAGGAUUAGAUACCCUGGUAGUCCACGCCGUAAACGAUGAUUACUCGCUGUUGGCGAUACACUGUCAGCGGCUAAGCAAAAGCAAUAAGUAAUCCACCUGGGGAGUACGGCCGCAAGGCUGAAACUCAAAUGAAUUGACGG